UUGACUGCGAGACCGACGGGUCGAGCAGGUACGAAAGUAGGACUUAGUGAUCCGGUGGUAUGAAAGUGGGAUUGCCAUCGCUCAACGGAUAAAAGCUACCCUGGGGAUAACAGGCUUAUCACUCCCAAGAGUUCACAUCGACGGAGUGGUUUGGCACCUCGAUGUCGGCUCAUCGCAUCCUGGGGCUGAAGUAGGUCCCAAGGGUUGGGCUGUUCGCCCAUUAAAGCGGUACGCGAGCUGGGUUCAGAACGUCGUGAGACAGUUCGGUCCCUAUCCGGCGCGGGCGUAGGAUAUUUGAGAGGAGCUGUCCUUAGUACGAGAGGACCGGGAUGGACUGACCUCUGGUGUAUCUGUUGGGUAUCAAACCCAUGGCAGAGUAGCCAAGUCGGGACGGGAUAAACGCUGAAGGCAUCUAAGCGUGAAGCCCCCCUCAAGAUAAGAUAUCCCAUCGCAAGAGUAAGACCCCUUGAAGACGACGAGGUAGAUAGGGCAGAGGUGGAAGCAUGGCAACAUGUGCAGCUGACUGUUACUAAUCGGUCGAGGGCUUAACCAA
rnacentral:ncRNA from 1 species